AGAGUUUGAUCAUGGCUCAGGAUGAACGCUAGCUACAGGCUUAACACAUGCAAGUCGAGGGGCAGCAUGUUGGUUGCUUGCAACCAACGAUGGCGACCGGCGCACGGGUGAGUAACGCGUAUCCAACCUACCCUUGUCCAUCGGAUAACCCGUCGAAAGGCGGCCUAACACGAUAUGCGGUUCACAGCAGGCAUCUAACGUGAACGAAAUGUGAAGGAGAAGGAUGGGGAUGCGUCUGAUUAGCUUGUUGGCGGGGUAACGGCCCACAAGGCUACGAUCAGUAGGGGUUCUGAGAGGAAGGUCCCCCCANAUUGGAACUGAGACACGGUCCAAACUUCUACGGGAGGCA
rnacentral:rRNA from 1 species